rnacentral:snRNA from 1 species
ACUCAAAAAAUCCUAAAAUUUCU